CGCCCUCCCGCAGGAGAGAGGGGCCCAUGCCGCAACCGGCGCCGGGCCUCCGCCGAAGGCGCAAGCUCCCAUAAUCGCUCAGGCACCAGGAACUGCGGGUUUCGU
rnacentral:ncRNA from 2 species